rnacentral:misc_RNA from 1 species
UAGAAAUUGACCAUUAAUUUGCAAAAGUUUUAUUCCAAAAUGGUUACAACAAUCUCCUCUUUUCUAUACUACACUGCAAAAUACUGGUAUGAGAAUGAACUGACUUGUUAAAUAAAUAACAAAACAUUUACUGAAGCACAGCAAUUACAUCAGAUGCCCUCAAUGUGAUGUAUUCAGAACCAUCAGCUCCUUUGAAGUCAUUGCCAGCAUAUUUGGAAUACAAAACUGUAUUUCCAGGAGAUACUGAAAGUGCUUUCCUUUUCCCUUCCUCGUCGAGAGGACCGGGUCCAACAGCUAUCACCGCGCCAAAUGAAGGUUUCUCCUUUGCAGCCUGGCUCAAAAACAAUCCCCCAGAAGUUUUUUCCUCAACUUCAGCCACCUUGAUUAGAACUCUGUCAUUCAAGGGCUGCAGAUCCUUGAUAUCAUCUGUCUCAAGUAUGCCAACAAUGUCAUCCUCUUUCAAAAUCAGGUGCUUUGAUCCAUCAAACUCCAGUUCAGUUCCCGCAUAUUUCGAGUACACCACGUGGGUACCAUUCUUUAUACUAAUCUCCACCGUAGUCUUGCCAAUUGAAUGACCUUCCCCGACAGCAACAACCUCGCCUCCUUGCGGCUUCGACUGUGCUGAUACUGGAAGCAGGAUGCCGCCUACACUCUUCUCCUCUGCAGUCUUAAUCUUCACCAGAACUCUAUCACCCAAUGGUUUGAGUGAAGUGUACUUGGGGGAUACAACUGUUGAAGCCUUAACGACGAGUCCAUGGAACGACCUUCUAUUCUGCUUUAAAGGAGCGAAAGACGCAACCUUUAAAUUACUUAUGGAUCUAAGCCCCUCAAAGGAUGCAAAACCCUUGGCAGAGAUGGAUGACGCGGUCAGCUGAGUUGUCGCCAUUCCUUUCCGAGCUCAAUCAAGAAACCCCACAACAGAAAUAGUCAAUAUCCUCAAAUCCCAGAAGCAAAAAGAGUACAACCAUAGAUAAAAACUCAAGAAUUCUGAAUGUAAUCCAGAACCCUACAACAGAAAUGGAACCCCACAAGCAAAAAAGAGUAAAACUCAAGGUAAGAACCAUAUAAUUGUGAACUAAACCAUAAUCCCCACUACAAAAAGGGUAAACAGCAGCUCCCCACAAGCAAAAAUAGUAAAAAAAAUGUGACAAGCUAUAGAAUUAAAGAUAAAGAGUAGCACCAGCAGAAGCAAAAAGAGGAACAGUUACAGAUAAGAACCAUAAAAUUCUCAACUAAAUCAAGAACCCCACAACAAAAAUACCACAGCAGAAGCAAAAAAUAUCCUAAAUUGGAAGACAAAAAUUCAAGAAUUUCAACAAUGAUAAUAAAGAUUGCACCUUUAUUAUUGGGAGAUUAGUUUCACUAAUAACAAAGGAGAAGUUUUCUCUAGAUAAGAACCAUAAAACUCUGAACCCCACAACAAAAGUGGUCACAAGAACAGCAAACCAGAAGCAAAAAAUAGUAAAUUUAAAGACAAAAGUUCAAGAAUUUGAAUCAAAUGAUAAAAAAGGAAGCACCUUUAUUGGCAAAAUUGAUGAGCCUUAAUAGCAAUGGAGAGGUUUUCUCUACUAUGGACUGAAGGUGUGUGUUUAGACUUUAGACUAUUGUAG